rnacentral:rRNA from 2 species
UGGUGCUUGCAUCAUGAUUUACAUUUGAGUGAGUGGCGAACUGGUGAGUAACACGUGGGAAACCUGCCCAGAAGCGGGGGAUAACACCUGGAAACAGAUGCUAAUACCGCAUAACAACUUGGACCGCAUGGUCCGAGCUUGAAAGAUGGCUUCGGCUAUCACUUUUGGAUGGUCCCGCGGCGUAUUAGCUAGAUGGUGGGGUAACGGCUCACCAUGGCAAUGAUACGUAGCCGACCUGAGAGGGUAAUCGGCCACAUUGGGACUGAGACACGGCCCAAACUCCUACGGGAGGCAGCAGUAGGGAAUCUUCCACAAUGGACGAAAGUCUGAUGGAGCAACGCCGCGUGAGUGAAGAAGGGUUUCGGCUCGUAAAACUCUGUUGUUAAAGAAGAACAUAUCUGAGAGUAACUGUUCAGGUAUUGACGGUAUUUAACCAGAAAGCCACGGCUAACUACGUGCCAGCAGCCGCGGUAAUACGUAGGUGGCAAGCGUUGUCCGGAUUUAUUGGGCGUAAAGCGAGCGCAGGCGGUUUUUUAAGUCUGAUGUGAAAGCCUUCGGCUCAACCGAAGAAGUGCAUCGGAAACUGGGAAACUUGAGUGCAGAAGAGGACAGUGGAACUCCAUGUGUAGCGGUGAAAUGCGUAGAUAUAUGGAAGAACACCAGUGGCGAAGGCGGCUGUCUGGUCUGUAACUGACGCUGAGGCUCGAAAGUAUGGGUAGCAAACAGGAUUAGAUACCCUGGUAGUCCAUACCGUAAACGAUGAAUGCUAAGUGUUGGAGGGUUUCCGCCCUUCAGUGCUGCAGCUAACGCAUUAAGCAUUCCGCCUGGGGAGUACGGCCGCAAGGCUGAAACUCAAAGGAAUUGACGGGGGCCCGCACAAGCGGUGGAGCAUGUGGUUUAAUUCGAAGCUACGCGAAGAACCUUACCAGGUCUUGACAUACUAUGCAAAUCUAAGAGAUUAGACGUUCCCUUCGGGGACAUGGAUACAGGUGGUGCAUGGUUGUCGUCAGCUCGUGUCGUGAGAUGUUGGGUUAAGUCCCGCAACGAGCGCAACCCUUAUUAUCAGUUGCCAGCAUUAAGUUGGGCACUCUGGUGAGACUGCCGGUGACAAACCGGAGGAAGGUGGGGAUGACGUCAAAUCAUCAUGCCCCUUAUGACCUGGGCUACACACGUGCUACAAUGGAUGGUACAACGAGUUGCGAACUCGCGAGAGUAAGCUAAUCUCUUAAAGCCAUUCUCAGUUCGGAUUGUAGGCUGCAACUCGCCUACAUGAAGUCGGAAUCGCUAGUAAUCGCGGAUCAGCAUGCCGCGGUGAAUACGUUCCCGGGCCUUGUACACACCGCCCGUCACACCAUGAGAGUUUGUAACACCCAAAGUCGGUGGG